CGCACGGGUGAGUAACACGUAUGGAACCUGCCCUAUGCAGGGGGAUAAGCGGAAGAAAUUCCGUCUAAUACCGCAUAACACCAUUUGGAGACAUCUCCAGGUGGUCAAAGGAGGCGACUCCGGCAUAGGAUGGCCAUGCGUCGCAUUAGCUAAUCGGCGGGGUAACGGCCCACCGAGGCGACGAUGCGUAGGGGUUCUGAGAGGAAGGUCCCCCACACUGGUACUGAGACACGGACCAGACUCCUACGGAAGGCAGCAG
rnacentral:rRNA from 1 species